GGGCGUUUAGCUCAGUUGGUCAGAGCAGUCGUCUUAUACACGACCGGUCCCUGGUUCGAAUCCAGGAACGCCCACCA
rnacentral:tRNA from 1 species